rnacentral:rRNA from 1 species
CGUAGGCACGAAGCCUGCUUGUUCAGGACAUUCUGGAUCGAUUCCCCAGACAGACCUGAAUUCUUAUACCCCCACAAGAGAAGGUCUCAGGCGCGCAAGUUACCCAAUCCUGACACAGGGAGGUAGUGACAAGAAAUAACAAUACAGGGCCUAACGGUCUUGUAAUUGGAAUGAGUGAAGUAUAAACCCCUUUACGAGUAUCAAUUGGAGGGCAAGUCUGGUGCCAGCAGCCGCGGUAAUUCCAGCUCCAAUAGCGUAUAUUAAAGUUGUUGCAGUUAAAAAGCUCGUAGUUGGAUUUCUGUUGUAUAAUUUAUAAUAUUACCAAGGGAAUUAUUAUAUUAUCAACAUCCUUCCUAUUAUAUUCUAAAUAUAUAGGAAAUUUUACUUUGAAAAAAUUAAAAUGCUUAAAGCAGGGAACUGCCUUGAAUACUCCAGCAUGGAAUAAUAAGUAAGGACUUUUGUCUUUCUUAUUGGUUCUAAGACAAAAGUAAUGGUUAAUAAGGACCGUUGGGGGCAUUCCUAUUUAACAGUCAGAAGUGGAUUUUCUUAAAAA